GUUACAACAAUAAUCUCUAAAGAAUGAUUUGGGAAGGAACAUGGCAAACAUGAAACUUCAUUUGCAAAUAAAUUCUACAUAUGAUUCAUUUACAAAUGAAUUCUGCAACAUGCCAAACAGGAUGUUAAGAAACUAUCAAUAUAGUUUCCAGAAUUAAUAUAGUAUAAUUUUAAUUGAUAUAGCAUUUAUAGAAUGGCAGUCUUUUUACCCAGUUCCACACGUUCCCAUUUUGGCAAUGGACUAAUAGGGAUGGGCAUGGUUUUAUCUAUUCCAAAUUUCCCUACUUGAUUAUGGGACUUGUUUUGCUACAAAUAGGGGUGCGUGCGGCGAAACCACAUCAAAACUAGCCCCAAACAAUCUAUGAAUAAGCAUACAUUCGAUGUAGAACCAAAAGAAUUUUAUCUUCCACAUGCUCAGGCUACUGAGAUCAAUUUAAAAUUUCAAGAGUGAAAUCCAUGAGUUAAGAUAACUUCUGUGAUAAAAUGUUCCUACAUACAAUGCAUCAAAUAUUUCUGAAACAAAUGCACUGCCCUGCAAAAAGAAAAGGCUUCUAGUCCUUCCCAAAAUCAGUGUUAUAAUGUGCACUUGAUUCAAGU
rnacentral:misc_RNA from 1 species